AUAACUGUAUCCGCUGCUUUCUGUAAUGAAAACAUGGUAUUUGAACAAUUUUAAUCGUAUAUUCAAGUUAGGGGAAACACCUUCCGCUUUGUACUUCAAAAAUGAAUAGAAAUGUAAAGUAUAUGAUCAUUAUAUUGUUAUGCUCGUGCUUUCAAUUUUGUUUUUUUUUUGUUAAAUUAUAUCGAUCUUGAAACGAAUACCUAAAAUUGCUCUCGUGUUGUACCAGCGGUAAUUUGGAAACUGGUGUCUCUUCACCAAUGAAAGGAGUACACAAGCAAUACAUUUUCGAGAACAUGGUUAAAAAUUAAAAGAAAACACCUAACCCAAUGAACUAACAUAGAAACUCCUCUCUAAAUUUAAGACUGUUUAUUCGUGUAAAGGCUGCAAAGUCUGGGGUCAACUGAUCAAAAGAUCACAACUGAAAGAUCUGGUGGUCGUGACUGUGCUGUUUUUCACAAGGCAGGAAAAGAAGGCGCUAUAUUAAAAUGUAUUGAAACAUCCCCCCCACCCGACCAGACAGACUCGGAAAACGUAUUGCCCCUUUUUUUCCAUCACAACCAGUUCAAGUACAGAGUUUGUCGGUACCUGUAAAUGUCCUUGUAGGUAGACACGUGAUUACCCGAAAAAACAAGGCGCUAUAUCUCGGAAACGAAAUCAGCACAAACGCUACUCACAGCGACACAAACCGGCACAAACGCAGCACUAACGAUUGCGACUGCAGGAGACUCGACUUCACCCGAGGAUCUAACACAGGCGCCCAUACCUGUGUCUUCAGAGGGCAGGUGUGCCCUCACGCUGUACUCUACACCAAGGACUGUCCGGACACACAAAGAUUGAAGAACUGUGAGCACAUCUCAUGUUUGCGCAUAAGACCCCUGGUAAUACAAACACGGAUAAUGACAGUUUAUUAAAGAAUUCGGAUAUAUGUUCGCUUCUGUUAAGUGAAAAAAAAAAGUUUCCAAUUCUGCCGCGGUCCGCAGGUGUGAGACGGUGGACUUUCCAGUGUUGCUUCUCGGAUGUGUUAUUUACUACCCGCGACAACCUUGUACGUAGUGCCCCUUAAAAAAACACCCUGGUUCUUUUUCACGUUAACGAAUGUGCUUUGCAUAAAAAACUAUAACAGUGGUCUUGUUGUUCGUGAGGUUGCAGAUUCAAGCCUUUUUGAACACGUGGCUCGACUGACGGGUCGACUCUUUACACGUGCGCGUGUUUAAGAAGGAAACUGAGAAACUGCUCACUUCUUCAGGUUUUUAAGACGUGCUUGUUAAAGCUUCUUGGUAAGAACAUGCAAUUGUUUGCUACUGUUCGCUUUUUGAGACUACUCCCGCAACUCUUCUGAUUAGGGUUUGUGAUAUUCGUGACAAAUUUAUUUUUCCUGCUUACUCAAACGCACAGAUAUUAAAUGCAAAAUCCACCGCUGCCCCCCCACCCGGGCAAACAGAGAAACAAAAUUGCAGAACUGUUACUCUCGCACCGGUAACAGACGCCUGAACUCUGCAGACGGGGUCACUGGAGGUCAAAGUCACGUGAUCACCGGAAAAAACAAGGCGCUAUAUUUCGGGAACGACAGCAGCACAAACGCCACUUUCAACAGCACAAACGAUUGAGACCGGUCUGGUUCCCCUACGAUGUUGUAGGGGGGGGCUGAGUGACGUCACAGCCCCCCAAAAGAAGGCACUAUAUCUCGGGAAAGAAAGAAGCUGGGGAGUUACUUUCCACGGCUCAAACGAAGUCCUAACGAGUGAGGUGGGUUUCAUCGUGUGUGCCGUCUGUGGGGGGCCAACGUCACGGAGCUCAAG